CUUUGCGGGACUGUAGCUUGGUACGCCCUCUACGAGAGCAAUUUGGCAAUGCUAUCAAAGCUAAAAAUGCACACAUCCUCCAAUUCGCCAACUCUUCAAGGAAUUCACCCUCCACAGACUCACUUGUGCAUGUGUGAAAUGACAGUACUUCAGAGCCGCUCAGCUUAUAACAGCAAAAGCUUGGAAAUGGCCUGAAUGCCUAUCAAGAGGGCACUGCUUAAAGAAACGAUUGUCCCUCCAAACAACAGAAUUCUGUGCAGCAGACGGCGCCUGAGCGAUCUUUGAGAACUACUGCAGAUGCCUGGCCCAGCUCUGGCCCCGGUGCUGCCUGCAUGCCAAGCGCUUCAUUAGCCGGGAAAGAAGACUCUUGCCCUCCUUCGUCUAAUCCUCGCCAGUGACCUUCAGGAACCAGGCACCUUCUGACGUUGGGAGCCUGGGAUGGUGCAAUCAUCAAUUACGCCGUGGCCUCCGCAGCUGUUCCUGAAUGGAUUUCUUGCUCAGAGAAGCGUGUUUGAAAAGCAUCUAAUGGAACGGAUCAUCAAUUUGUUUGAAUACACAUCUAAUCUGAUUAGGGGGGCACUGGCCACCAGGGCAGCUAGUGCAACUGAGCCUUGACAUGGCCCCAGGGAAUCAUAAGUGGGGUGGCGGGGCCAGUCUAGGGAAGGAGGGCUGUGUGCCCUGGGCCUGCCACCGAGCCCUCCUUGAGCUCAGCCCAUGGUACGUCCAGCCAAAAAAGUCACAGAGAAAAGCAGAACACAUCACACAGAUGCCAGGAGAGCUGGGCCCAAGACUCCUGUUUUUCUAUAGCCCUGGCACUGGGCACAGAGCCUGAGACAAAGAAGAUGCUUGGGAAAUAUGUGGCAAAUGAAUGACAGUAAGGCCCAACAUGGAAGCCAAGGGAUGUUUAAUAAAGUCAUCUGUGGGACAAGACUAGGUGAUGCCUGUAUUGGGUUGAAUAUGUCUCCCCCAAAUUCAUGUCCUUCCCAAAACCUCAGAAUGUGACCUGAUUUGGAAAUCGAGUCUUUGGAGAUGUAGUUUGUUAAGAUGAGGUCACGCUGGAGUAGGAUGGGCCUUCCGUGACUGGUGUCUUGGUAGGAGGAGAAGAAACACAGGGAAAGAGACACACAAGGAGAAGACAAGAGCCAAGUAAAGACAGAGGCAGGGACUGAAGCGACGCAUCUACCAGCCAGGGAAUGCCAAGGACUGCUGGGAGCCACCAGGCAGGCCUAGGACGGGGGCAGGACGGAGUCUCCCGUUGAGCCUGCAGAAGGAGCAUGCCCCUGUCACCCUGAUUUCAGACUUCUGGCCUCCAGAACUGUGAGAGAACAGAUUUCUGCUGUUUAAAGCCACCCAGCUUAUAGUGCUUUGUCAUGGCAGCCCAGGAAACUCAUGCAAUGCCUACAGGAAGCUUUGUCCGUCAUUCCACAGAAGGCAGCAUGGCAGAGAACCAGAAGGAAGUCCGAGCCCUGCCUCGCUGGAUGUAGCUGGUCCUUCCCAGACACAUCACGUGCGCCAUGCCACUCUCUUCCCUGGGGAGCCCUUUCUUACCUUCUUUACCAGGAAAAUGUUGGUUUUCAAUCCAUGUUAGUUCCUGUCCAGCACCCCUUCAAAGCUCAAAUGCCAUGCCCUCUGUAACUCUUCUCCAGAUGUCCUCCUCAGACUCCUGAGAUCGCCUCCCUCCCAGCAUGCUUGGUGAUUCCCAUGCUACAUCCCCCACUGCUGGGCACACUGGGGCUCCCUCAUCUUCCUAGCCCCAGAGCCUGGCAACAGCCUGGCCUGCAGAAGAGCCCAGAUCCAUGAGAAAGUGGGCAAGCAAACUUGCUGUGGACCAGCGGGUCCCUCCCUUCUUGGGAGUGGACCAGAAUGGAGAUCACAAAGUUCCCUUCCAGCCCUGACAUUAUAAGAGCCGAGUAGCCCUCUGGGGGAUGACCUUACUGGGCCCUGUAAUGGGACCACCUGGGUUCAAACCCAGUGGACUCUGCCACUCACAGGCUGUGUUUCCCUGGGCAUCAUUCUGUAACUCUGCUGCACCUCUCCUGAAAAAUAGGGAUAGCAGUGCCUACCUCGUUGGCCUAUGGAAAGGGGUAAGUGCUUCAACCAGUGCCUGGCACAGAGAAAGAGCCCUUGGAAAGAAGGCUGUUAUUAUUCCUCAUCUUGGCUUGGUGCAGCCUCUGCAAGCCCUUCUCAUAGCCGGGGCCUCCUGUUUGAACCACACAGGUAAACAGGGCCAAAGCACCUCCAACCUUGCAUGGAAAAAAGACGGUUCUCAUUUCCAAUAGGUUUAUUUUGCAGUUAACAGAGGGGAAGGGAGCUCUUUCUUACAUUUCCCUUGGAGGGUUCAGAGAUUAAACUUAUACCAUCGAUUAGAAUGUUUUGGCCUAACGGUGCUAGUAUCAUUUUAGUGUAUUCAGAUUCAUUUGAGCUAUAAAAGUGGCGAUAAUAAAAUGUUCACUAAGUCCUGGAAUUCCUCCCAAGAAGCCCGAUGGUGUUACAUGGACCACAGUCCUCUUCCCCUCAGUGGCCCCAAGGCAGGACAGCAUGCUUGGAGCAAUUCUCCAGUUUUACAGCUGAGACUUGAGACCCCCUAGAAAUUGAUCAAUGGCCUGGCCGGCCUGGGUGGCUUCAUGAGACUCAGCUCUGCCUCACCUCUGUCACCCUUCUCACAGGUGACUUUGUCCACCAUGCAGGUACCACUCUUCUGCCCAUCCCCUAAGCCUGGGGACUCUGGUGACAAAGAGACACUGUCUUCCUACAGGUCUGCAGGAGCCCAGAGCGAGGACUCAUAGGCCCAGGGAUGCGUCCAAGAACCCACAGCCUGGGGGUCUCCAGUGUCUACCUCCUUGGUCAGCGAUGGUGCCACCAGAUGCAGGGCACGGAAGGCUGUGCCGUGAGGAAGGACCAGCACCCCAGAGCUCUGGCUGGCAUGCUUCCCAGGGGCAGCCCCUGUUCCUCCUCUUGCCCACCCUUGGAGACGGGCCAUCACCUAAGAGGAGGGAGAGAUGGAAGCUGGGGGAAGAUGGGAGCUAGGGGCAGUGGCUCUGACUUAACACCAGCAUUGGUUUCCCAAUAUUGAAUAAAGAGGGCUGAGCUGGACAGCAGGUGUCCUUAGGGGCUUGACCUCACCACCCCCAGACGGGGCCUGUCUGCCCAAUUUCAGGGGCUUCUCCUCAAUUUCCUGGCUUCAGGGCGAGGCUGCUCAGCCCAGGGACAAGAAGGAAAGAUGGGUAUUUGUUAAAGGCCUACUCCACACUGAGCAGCGCAUGUUUACCCAUUUAAUCCUCCCAGCCUCCUUAGGGGAGUGCUAUGAGGACUUCUCUUUUAUUUCUCUCAUCUGAAGCUCAGAUGAGAGAGGUACCCAGUCACAUGUGUGUCAGUGGCAGAGCUGGGUUUUGAACCCAUAGCCGCCUGCCUCCAUGCAAGGCCUCUGACCUCCCCUCUGUCCAGGCUGCGUUUGGAGCCCAGGAACAGAUUCCAAGGCUGGGCCCCGCAGGGAGGAAAAAACAAAGCACGAGUCGCUCUCUGCACGGAGGCUGAGAGAUGGAGCCACCGCUGAGGAAGAACACACAUUCAUCAGGCUGGUGACCCCGGUGUACCAGCGCUUUGUGGCGUGUAACAAAGACUGCCGAGCAGAAAAUUGGAGUUCAAUUUGCCGUCCAUCCUGCACGCAGUGCUCAGCCCAUUCUAGUCCCUGGCAGGCACCUCUGUGCUUUAUCAUAAAUAAUAACACCACGCGGCUCUAUGGCCCUUUCCGCAGUUACAGUCCCCGAGCAAUUUACAAGCCAGAUUAUACACAGAAGCCUGCACAUGCCUGCCGGCCAGCACACACCACACACACGCGGCCUCCUCCCCAGUCACUCCUAGGGCCCACGGCCAUCCUGGUGUCACCCAUCUGGGGCUGCACCCAAUCUGGAGGGAAGCAGGCCGUUGUGCACCCCUGGACACUGGGCUCUGCUCCUGCCCUGGUCACCUUCUUUAUCCCUUUUACUGGCUCUCAUGGUUGGCAGAGAACCCACGAGGUCUGGUGGCCCACUGCCCCUUGCUGGACCAAGGUCAAGGCCACUUCCCCUCUCUUUCUUUCCGUUUUAGAAGGAGCUUCUGGACCUCCUCCCCUCCAAUCAGCAGUGGCCCUUUGUCUCUACCACAGGGAGUCCCGUCUCUCCUCAGAACUUAUUGGGAGUAGUGGGGGGGUGCAAAAGCAGCAACAGGGACCCACAAGUUCAACCGCUCGCUUCACAGACGAGACCCCUGGGGCCCAGAGAGGUGCAGCAGCUUCCCUGAGGACUCUGCAUCAGCUGCUGAGCUGAGACCAAAGCCCAGGACCACCGGCACCCAGUCCACUACACAGCGGAGCCCCAAGGAGGGAGGUAAACAAAGGUCUAGGGCAGACUGGGCUGCUCCCUCUGAGCAUCUAGAAACUUCCCCAGAAGCAGAAGCUUCAGGCAGGGCCUGGAGGGGCUCCAGCAGCAGCUCCUUCCCCCUCUUGCCAUCAAACUAAAUAAGAGGUCAACUAUUGUAUGAUGCCAUUUAUAUGAGAUAUCCAGAGUAGGUAGAUCCAUAGAGAUGGGGCUCAGAUUGGUGACUGGCAGGUGGUUGGGAGAGAGGGGAAUGGGGAGUGACUGUGAGUGGGUACAGGCUUCCUUCUGGGGUGAUGAAAGUAUUCUGGAACUCAGUGGUGGUUGUACAUCAUUGUGAAUGUACUAAGUGCCACUGAAUUGCUCACUUGAAAAUGAUUUUUUUUUUUUUUUUUUUUUUGAGACCGGGUCUCGCUCUGCUGCCCAGGCGGGAGUGUGGUGGUGCAAUCAUAGCUCACUGCAGCCUUGAACUCCCAGGCUCAAGUGAUCCUCCACUUUAGCCUCUCGAGUACCUGGGACCACAGGCGCGUGCCACCAUGCUUGGCUAAUAUUUUGUAUUUUUAGUAGAGAUGAGGUUUUGACACGUUGCCCAGGCUGAUCUCGAACUCUUGGACUCAAGCAAUGUACCCACCUCGGCCUCCCAAAGUGCUAGGAUUAAGGCAUGAGUCAGUCUUAAAAUGGCUAAUUUUAUGUCAUGCAAAUCUUAUCCCCAUCAAAAAAAUAAAAAAAAAUAAAAAACAUACAAUGGGUGCCAGGUGUCGUGUGGCCUCCUACUUCCCCUCCUCUCCCUGCCAGCCCCAUGCAGUUCUUGGGAAGAAGACUAAAAAGCAACUCCAGGUGCUGUGCUCCUUCCUGUGCUAAUCCAUCAUCUGGCUCCUGCCUUCCUGCCUCCCGCCCUUGCCCUGCCUGUACUCAGGAGCUUCUCCCAUGUGUGGGCUCAGGCGCUGGGUCUCCUCUGGGUUCUGGAGGGUGGGGAUGCAUUUCCAAUCACU
rnacentral:lncRNA from 1 species